rnacentral:tRNA from 1 species
UCCCGUGUGGCUCAGUUGGUAGAGCAUGGUGGUUACAACGCCAGGGUUGUGGGUUCGAUUCCCACGGGGGAG